GACAGAGGGUGCAAACGUUGCUCGGAAUUACUGGGCGUAAAGCGCGCGUAGGCGGAAGUUCAAGUCUGGCCUGAAAGCCCCCGGCUCAACCGGGGAGUGGGGCUGGAAACUGGGCUUCUUGAGGGCGAUAGAGGAGUGUGGAAUUCCUGGUGUAGCGGUGAAAUGCGUAGAGAUCAGGAGGAACACCCGUGGCGAAGGCGGCGAUCUGGGUAGAUACUGACGCUGAGGUGCGAAAGCGUGGGGAGCAAACAGG
rnacentral:rRNA from 1 species